rnacentral:rRNA from 1 species
CGAGUAAAGCAGUAAUGCGCUUGGGGAUGGGCCUGCGGCGGAUUAGCUAGUUGGUGGGGUAACGGCCUACCAAGGCGAUGAUCCGUAGGGGGCGUGAGAGCGUGGCCCCCCACACUGGCACUGAGACACGGGCCAGACUCCUACGGGAGGCAGCAGUGAGGAAUAUUGCACAAUGGGCGCAAGCCUGAUGCAGCAACGCCGCGUGAGGGACGAAGGCCUUCGGGUCGUAAACCUCUUUUCUGGGGGACGAGUAAGGACGGUACCCCAGGAAUAAGUCUCGGCUAACUACGUGCCAGCAGCCGCGGUAAAACGUAGGAGGCGAGCGUUAUCCGGAUUUACUGGGCGUAAAGCGUACGCAGGUGGCUUCGUUAGUCGGACAUGAAAGCUCCUGGCUUAACUGGGAGAGGUUGUUCGAUACUGCGGGGCUUGAGGUUGGGAGAGGGACGUGGAAUUCCCGGUGUAGUGGUGGAAUGCGUAGAUAUCGGGAGGAACACCAGUGGCGCAAGCGGCGUCCUGGCCCACACCUGACGCUGAGGUACGAAAGCGUGGGUAGCAAACAGGAUUAGAUACCCUGGUAGUCCACGCUGUAAACGAUGUCAACUGGGUGUCGGUAGUUUUACACUAUCGGUGCCGAAGCUAACGCG